CCGCGUGCCAUGGCUCAGUGAGGAGAGGGCGGGGCUUAGAGGCGCGGGGGAGCCGUGGGAGGAGCCCGACGGCGUGGUGGGCAGGGCCUAGGGGAAUGGGAGGAGACUCGAUGCGUGUGAGGCGUUGGCAGUCAGGGAGCUCGUUCAGGUCAGCGUGGCUGGAGCGGCAAGGAGGGGAGCUGGCCGGGACCCAGUGCGCAAGAGGCUCCAGCAGACAGGCAAGCAGAGAAGAAACAGCCCAGUGGUGUUAAAAAUGCUGGAGCCUCUGUGCUCUACAGCGCCCCCCGUUAUGACAGAACCUGCCCCCCCACCCCGCUCCCGCAGCCAAACACACACGUGCACUUUUUUCAAAUAGCUUUUAAACAUUGCCUGUGUCUGACUCGGGCUUUCAUGAGAUCAAGACGCUUCUUUGAGCCUGCGCUGAGUGAUCAGCAGGAUUUUGCUUGAGUCCAGGCCAACAGACUUUACAUCAGCUCCAAAUCCUCUUUUUUUACACAGUUCCAAAACAUAUGUGGGGAAAAAGUGCACUCAUAUUGAUUGCCUCUGACAAAUAUUUCAACAUUCUUUAUUUGUUCUGUUCAUUCUUCAUGGAGUUAAAUAUACUGUUAAAGUAACUAAAUUAUAACUAUAUAGGUGUAUAUGUGUGGCUUUAAUUUGGAAUGAGCUAUAAAACAGGUUGUAGGGGUAAGGUUGCGGAAGAUUGGCGAGGAGCUAAGUGGUGGACUGAGUAUGUGACUGGAUAUAAGCGGAGGAUGCAAGCAGUUUCAAUGAACUUUAUCUGACAGACCCUGCCAAAAGAUAUUGUAGCAUAGCUCAGCAUAUUUUUGCCUGUAAACAAGUCAGUUUAUAUAAUAAGCAUAAAUCAUACAUGUAAGAAUGUAACCGGCUGUUGAUCCCAUGUAACCCCGAGAUAAGCGUGGAGAAUAUAGCGCCACAGAGGACUCCCCCCCGGUGGAGUCCUGACUGGUCAGCUAUCCCGAAAGGCCAGAGUCCCUAGCAGCCCCUCCGCGUGUCCUAGGGGCUUCCCACGCAGAUUGGAGCGUAAGUUCUUCCUUCCUUCAAUAAAGCAUAGUUUACUAUU